AGCAGCCGCGGUAAUUCCAGCUCCAAUAGCGUAUAUUAAAGUUGUUGCAGUUAAAAAGCUCGUAGUUGAAUUUCGGGAUCAAAUUGUCGGUCGUGCCUCGGUACGUACUGGUAUUAUUGGUUCCUCCCUUCUGACGAACCACGAUGUCAUUAAUUUGGUGUCAUGGGAAAUCAGGACUGUUACUUUGAAAAAAUUAGAGUGUUUAAAGCAGGCUCGCGCUUGAAUACAUUAGCAUGGAAUAAUGAAAUAGGACGUUUGAUUCUAUUUUGUUGGUUUCUAGGAUCGACGUAAUGAUUAAUAGGGAUAGUUGGGGGCAUUAGUAUUCAAUUGUCAGAGGUGAAAUUCUUGGAUUUAUUGAAGACUAACUACUGCGAAAGCAUUUGCCAAGGAUGUUUUCAUUAAUCAAGAACGAAAGUUAGGGGAUCGAAGACGAUCAGAUACCGUCGUAGUCUUAACCAUAAACUAUGCCGACUAGGGAUCGGAUGAUGUUAAUUUUUUAAUGACUCAUUCGGCGCCUUAC
rnacentral:rRNA from 1 species